rnacentral:sRNA from 1 species
ACUCGCCGGGCACAACGCGCCUCGCGAUCUUCCCGGACCGGCAAAGCCGGACCCUGA